rnacentral:rRNA from 1 species
UACGAAGGGGGCUAGCGUUGUUCGGAAUUACUGGGCGUAAAGCGUGCGCAGGCGGCCAUCCAAGUCAGUGGUGAAAUCCUGGAGCUCAACUCCAGAACUGCCUUUGAUACUGAAGAUCUCGAGUCCGGGAGAGGUGAGUGGAACUGCGAGUGUAGAGGUGAAAUUCGUAGAUAUUCGCAAGAACACCAGUGGCGAAGGCGGCUCACUGGCCCGGUACUGACGCUGAGGCACGAAAGCGUGGGGAGCAAACAGG